UUCGCCCUUAGAGUUUGAUCCUGGCUCAGAGCGAACGCUGGCGGCAGGCUUAACACAUGCAAGUCGAGCGGGCGUAGCAAUACGUCAGCGGCAGACGGGUGAGUAACGCGUGGGAACGUACCUUUUGGUUCGGAACAACACAGGGAAACUUGUGCUAAUACCGGAUAAGCCCUUACGGGGAAAGAUUUAUCGCCGAAAGAUCGGCCCGCGUCUGAUUAGCUAGUUGGUAGGGUAAUGGCCUACCAAGGCGACGAUCAGUAGCUGGUCUGAGAGGAUGAUCAGCCACAUUGGGACUGAGACAUGGCCCAAACUCC
rnacentral:rRNA from 1 species